rnacentral:sRNA from 1 species
ACUGGCCACCCGGACGGCGCGAUGGCGGCGGCUACCGCCGAGACCCCCGAAGUCCUUCGGGAAUGCGGUUGCAAGGGCAUCCGGACCUGUCUGAUCUGCGAGCGGCAGCGCGGCGGUGACCCGCCCUGGGAGCUGCCCCCAGCGAAAACAUACCGUUUCGUUUACUGCUCCGACACUGGCUGGGCCGUGGGCGCAGAGGAGUCUGACUUUGAGGGCUGGGCCUUCCCCUUCCCAGGAGUGAUGCUGAUCGAGGACUUUGUGACCCGGGAGGAAGAAGCUGAGUUGGUGCGGCUCAUGGACCGUGACCCCUGGAAGCUCUCCCAGUCCGGACGGAGGAAGCAGGUAGACUGACCCUGAGCUCAUGGGGGGUGCUGGGCUGCGCUGAGGGGACAGCCCUACUGCUGGGGGCCGUCCCCCUCCUUGCAGCCACACCCCACAAACCUCCAGGUUUGGUAGUGGGCGAGUUCCCCAGACCUUGGGGCUGUGGGCAGCCAGACUCGCUGCAGGACAUGUGUCCGAUGGGCAGAGGUGCACCCGGGCACCCCAUCU